GAAACAUUCCCUGAACUUGGAAUCACAGCUGAGAGGGAGGGACAGACAGUCAUGCAGGCUGCCGUGGCUCCCCAGGGUCCCCAGCACCCAGGAGCAUGGCCAGACAGGCUUGGUGACAGCAGUGGGACCAUGCUUUGCAGGUCUGCAGCAUGACCCCAGAGGGUGUCUCCCCUCCUUGACUGGCUUUCGGCUUCUGUCCCAAGACAGGCUGGCUCUAACCUCCAGAGCCCCUGGCCUUCCACAUCCAAGGACGCGGGGUCUACGGCAGGACAGGAGCCACCUCCCAGCUCCCAGUGGAGAAGGCCAGUUCUCACAGCCUGGGGGCUUCUGGAGGGGGUUCUGCCGGGUCUUCUUUGAGGACCCCCAACACAGAGGCAGAGCUGGCAGAGGGGGCACAGGCCGCGGAACACCUGGUCAGCUCCUCCUCCUGUGCCCUGCGGAAUACCCAGCCUCAGCCCUCAGCGAGGCGCUCUGCACAGAGCGGGCAGACGAGCUGGAACCGUGCACGUGGACACAGGAUCCUGCGGCCAGCACUCCACGCUCCCUGCCCACGAGGGCUGCACAUAGGUUUCCACUGCCCGCCCCUGUGGCAAGAGGCCUGAGGUGUCCCCAGACCCCACAGGCCAGUCCCAUCCGUCAUGGGAUCCGUUCUCUCGACACCACCAGGGCAAAGCUCUGUCCCUCACACCCAGGCAUCUGGGUCCGUCCCAGUGAGAGGGCUCCAAAAUACAGCCCCUGUCUGGGACAGAGCAGGAGGAGACCUGGAGAGAGUCGGAGCCUGCCACGCUCAUGAAGGCACCCAGGCCCGGCUGAGAGGCCACACAGCCCAGACCCCGACCACGGGCUGUCUGUGGACCUGUGUGGCCUCUUUCCUUCCUUCCUUCCCUCCCUCCCUCCUUCCUUCCUUCCUUUCAUGUACUUAUUUAAUUUUGACCCUCUCCACUGAAAAUGUCCCCUGCCAAUCCCUGCGUGGAGCCCCAGCCCAUGGUCUGGAAGCUCCCAGUGCUGACCUGUAGGCUGAUGCUGAAUGCAUCUGGAACUCAGAGAAUCCAGAGGUCAGAGUGAGCCCCCAGCUCUGCUUCCAACGCUGCUCCUCCCCAGACCCCACCAACCCCACCCAGGUCUGAGCCGAGUCCAGUGUCCUG
rnacentral:lncRNA from 1 species